rnacentral:rRNA from 1 species
AUUGAACGCUGGCGGCAUGCCUUACACGUGCAAGUCGAACGGCAGCACGGGAGCAAUCCUGGUGGCGAGUGGCGAACGGGUGAGUAAUAUAUCGGAACGUGCACAGUCGUGGGGGAUAACGUAGCGAAAGCUACGCUAAUACCGCAUACGAUCUACGGAUGAAAGCGGGGGAUCGCAAGACCUCGCGCGAUUGGAGCGGCCGAUAACAGAUUAGGUAGUAGGUGAGGUAAAGGCUCACCAAGCCGACGAUCUGUAGCUGGUCUGAGAGGACGACCAGCCACACUGGGACUGAGACACGGCCCAGACUCCUACGGGAGGCAGCAGUGGGGAAUUUUGGACAAUGGGCGCAAGCCUGAUCCAGCAAUGCCGCGUGCAGGAUGAAGGCCUUCGGGUUGUAAACUGCUUUUGUACGGAACGAAACGGUGAGCUCUAAUACAGUUUGCUAAUGACGGUACCGUAAGAAUAAGCACCGGCUAACUACGUGCCAGCAGCCGCCGCCG